CUGCCUAUUUCGGGGACGUGAAACUCCCCUAAACGGUGCUCAGCCUCCUAGGGGAGUUAGCUGUCAGCCGUGCAGCGGCGGGAAGUGCAUCCCGACAGCCCUGGAACUUCCCAGGGUCUGUUGACACUCCAUGUGGCUUUGAACUUAUUCCCAUGAAGAGUAGAAAUUUCUGGACUCUGCUCAGAAGACCAUGUACAUGGAUGUAGUGUUGGAGAAUUAUAGCAAUCUAGUCUUGUGGGUAAAGAUGCUUUUCCUAUAGAAUGCCUGAUACAUCCUUUGUAUUUGCCUGCUUUGUAUAUAUGUAAACUCCCAGAACUGUCCAGAGACUCCCAGACAAAAGGGGAAUUUUGGAAAUAAAACAACUUUUUCCUGGUA